GUCGGUGCCCAUAGAGAGGAGGGUACACCCGGCUCCAUUCCGAACCCGGCAGUUAAGCUCCUCAUCGCCAAUGAUACUGCAUAUUCAUGUGUGGGAAAGUAGGUCGGUACCGACU
rnacentral:rRNA from 1 species